GCCAGGCAGAGAGACACAUGCCUGUGGCCCUACUCAGAAGGCAGGUGGAUCACUUGAGCCCAGGAGUUAUGCACUGUGAUGUGCUAUGCUGAUUGGGUGUCUGCACUAAGUUCAGCAUCAAUAUGGUGACCUCCCAGGAGCUGGGGACCACCAGGUUGCCUAAAGAGGGGUGAACCAGCCCAGGGCAGAAAUGGAGCAGGUCAAAGCUCCUGUGCUGAUCGGUAGUGGGAUCAUGCCUAUGAAGAGCCACUGCACUCUAGCUUGGGCAACACAGAAUUUUU
rnacentral:SRP_RNA from 1 species